rnacentral:rRNA from 1 species
ACGCUCGACACCUACGGGAGCAGCAGUGGGGAAUAUUGCACAAUGGGGGAAACCCUGAUGCAGCGACGCCGCGUGAAGGAAGAAGUAUCUCGGUAUGUAAACUUCUAUCAGCAGGGAAGAAAAUGACGGUAUCUGACUAAGAAGCCCCGGCUAACUACGUGCCAGCAGCCGCGGUAAUCUGAGCGGGCUGGCAAGGC